rnacentral:rRNA from 1 species
UACGUAGGAGACGAGCGUUGUCCGGAGUUACUGGGCGUAAAGGGUGCGCAGGUGGCGGCGCGCGUGGGGGGUGAAAUCGCCCGGCUUAACUGGGCGGGGGCCUUCCAGACGGCGUGGCUUGAGCAGCGGAGGGGGACGUGGAAUUCCGGGUGGAGCGGUGAAAUGCGUUGAUAUCCUAAGGAACACCGGUGGCGAAAGCGGCGUACUGGGUCUUAUCUGACGCUGAGGCACGAAAGCUAGGGUAGCGAACGGG